AGCCUUGAUGUACUCCUUUCCCGAUUUGUAACCAGUCUGUUGUUCCAUGUAAUGAAGUAAUAUUGUAUUACUUCAAUUUAAAAAAAGAAUUAAGGUGUAAUUACUUCAAUUUCAAAUAAAAGAAUUAAAGUGUAAUCAAGAUAUUAUUAAAUGAAAAUAGUCUGCCAAAGAAGACCUGCAUCAAAGGAAAUGAGUGUUCAAGCAGAAGAAAGAUGUUUCCAGAUGGAAGAAAUAUAAGAAGGAACAACAAAAAUGGGACAUGUGGGUCAGUCUAAAUAAUACUGACAGCAGAAUGCAGUAUCUCAGGGGGCUUACUACAUACUGGGAAAUAGAAGACCACACAAAACAUACAAGACCACAACAGCACGUAAGACAAAAGGGAGACGACCCUUCCACACUCUUGGAGGCAUGGCCCAUGCUUAUCCGACUAUGAUAAGUUACAGGGGUGUGUUCUAUUUUCUCUGGUAAGCAAGAAAAGAAGCACACUUGUGAGAAGGAGGGAUCAAACAUUUUUUUUUUCAAUGUAAUCCACCUUAAAGAAGAAGGGAAUGAAACAUAAAACAGAUGGGACAAAGGAAAAAAAAGAUUUAGACCCAAAUAUAAUCAGUGAUUACAUUAAAGUAUAAAUAUUAGAAUAAAAGAAAAUUGGUAUGGGGUCACAGAAUGUUACAAUUCAUGGCGGCUUUAGGGACGGCAAGCACUCCACUAGUCUUGCCUGGAGAAUUCCAUGGACAGGGGAGCCUGGCAGGCUCUAGCCCAUGGAGUCCCAUGGAGUUGGACACAACUGAGCGACUAACAGAGUUACUCUAAAUUCCAAAGUUCCCCUCACUCUCCUGUUUAACCCCACAGCUAUCAGGAUAAUACGUACAUUCCUAAUCCCAUUUUACAAACAAAGAAAUCAAGGUACAAGUUAAACACCAAACAAAUGUGAUACGAACCUCGGUAGUCCGACUCCAAAACCCAUGCUCUCUGCUACUGUUGUUGGACAGCUUCCCCAGUUUUCAAAGCCCUCUGUAGGAAUCCAUAUUGUGGCUGAAUGAUGCUACUACAGAGGGCUACUUAAUCAAGAGUAUCUGUAUUACAUACUUUUAUACCUGGACCUAGAAAGAAAACACAUCUCACGAUGUUCAGCCAAAA
rnacentral:lncRNA from 1 species